UCCCUUCAUUAUUCAAACGAAGAAAGUGAGGCCCAGAGGGGACGUGUUGGAGAAGAUCCUUGAAUUCGGCCAAAGGAAGUCUGAUUCUGACCCAAAUCAGUUCCCCUCUUCGGGUUUUAGUUUCCUCACCUAGACACAUAAGUACCUAAAGAUGACAACAAUAGCCCAUGUUUAUUGACCCCUAGGAUGUGAGGUCUUAAGUGUUAUGCGUUUUCCAUGGGCCAUCCCAUUUAAGAUUCAAUAACUUUAUGAGCUAUAAUUAUUCCCAUGAGAACACUAAGGCAAGGGAGGUUAAAUAAGUUGGCUGAGGUCCUUCAGUGGCAAAGGCAGAAUUUGAACCUUGGCGGUCCCUCUCCAGGGCCCGGGCACUCAGUCACCACUCGCAUGAGGACGGGAUCCAGAUGGGUCAGCUGGGAAGCGGGGGCUCAGCCCCACUGACCCCUGGGCCAGUGUUCAUGCCACUGGGUCAGGCUGUGUACUCAGCCAGGGCAGUGCGGGUCUUAGGUUGUCUGGAGGCUGCUGGGGUCCUCUGUACUCAGGGCUGUGACCAUGAUACUCGGCACACACCCUGGAGCAGGGAGCUUUGGGCCAGAGCGGGGCUUCCAGAAGGAGACUUGGAAAGGCCGAGGAGAGCUUUUAGGUUUGUCAUGAGGGAAUCCAGGAAGUGUAAGGGUUCUUGAUCGGGGCCAUGACUGUACAAUAUUAUAGAGAAGCCUCUCCCUGCUCCCUCCCCGCCCCCAGGUGGCGUGCCCACUUAGGAAGUCCUCUAGUAGGCGGCUCAGUCCACAAAGCCAUGCAGUGACACCCCCUCCCUCACCCAGUGUGUCCCUUCCACCCUGGUUAUUCCAGCUUCUUUCUUCUCAGAGGCUUUACUGCUAGAACUAGAUGUUGGAUGUGGCUUCCUCCUCAGAAGACAAUUUAUGGCGACAUGUCGGAGACUCUGUUUUAAUGAAGUUGCAAAAGUAGGUUAAUGGGCUGUGGGUGUUUUUCAUUCCCUUCCCCCUGCCCCUUCUCCACCCCUGGGCAGAUGAAUGAUGCCUCUCCCAGCACGACUCAGAGUCGGGCUGAGGAUCUUGGGCCUGGACGUGUAUGCUCACAUAUCUCUUCCUUGGCCUCCACUGGAGCCCUCAGUACCCUCCUCCCUGCUGCUGGCAAGGUGCUCAGCACAUCUAGCCCCCAUCCCUCCUGCUGUAACUACGGCCUGAAGAUGCUCCAAAGUCUGCCCAGCGGGAAAGAGCAUGGCAUAUUUGAGAGGCAGGAACCAGGGCAAGGGCUGGGGCAGGGCUUGGGACCCUGGGGAAGAAGGCAGCCAGAAUUAUGGCUAAUGGAUUUCUUUUGGAUGAGAGAGGCCUGGAGAUGGGAGCUUAGCUGGCAUGGACCUGGGGAAUUCUGCAAGCUGACGCUGAUAUUUUGGGGGAGGAGCUGAGUUUCUGAGGACCUCCCCCAUUGUUGUUCCUCCUUCUCUAAUUCAUUUCUGUGUCUCCUAGGGCCAUGCCUGAUACAUGGCUGCCCUUGCAAAUAGUCGCCGAGUGAAUGAUGGACACAAGAGUGAGUGGGCCUUUUUUCCCGGUCCCCAGUCUCUGGGGCUGGAACUCAUCCCCAUUCUUGCUCCCUUCCCACCUGUCUUCCCAGUGCUUGCCCCACACUGCCACCUCUGAGGACAUUUUCCAUGACUAAACUGCAAGAGUAAUUCUCCAUUUAUUUGUCUGGGUCCAACAUGAGGGUCUGUCAUCCUGGAAGAGUGGGGUCUCCAGGGGGAAGGGUCUAUCUCUUUUCCCUCCAGAUUCUCCCCUAAGUGAUCCCCACGUAGGGCUCUAAGAUUGGGGUUGGGGCCCAGAGCCUGGCUGUACUUGAAGGCACACAUCCAGGAGGACCAUCCUGCUGUCUAGGCCCCUCUCUCCAGUCCUUCCUCCCUAUAGAAAGCCGAGAGCACUCAUAGUCUCUGGCCUGUAGUCACUUCCAGGGGAGAAGGACCCUUCUCCACUCCCAGCCCCCUCCUGUCAACAAAUGAGGUUAUUGGUCAGGGUUUGGGAAUACCAGGAUGGGGUAUAGCAGGCCUCACUUCCCUGCAACGUCAGACCAUCCCCCUUUUCUGGGAGCCUGGACCUCCUCUGUCCUCUCCACCCUUUGGCUUUCUUUUAUAGACUUAGCUCUCUCCCCUCCCUGGGCCUGGGAAGGAUCACAGGUUUGUGGCCCUUUAGACUAACGUUGUAGACAUCCUGAGAAGCUCUACCAUGAUGCCCAGAAAGGCCCACCAUAAUCCCCAGCCCAAUUCUUUUUUUCUUUUUCUUUUUUUCCCGACCCAGGUAGGACAUUCUUCUCGAAGACUCCAAAGACCUCACUGGACCUUGCUCCAUACUCAGUUUUGCUGUGGCAGAGGGAAGGGCAGCUACCCCUCCUGUGCCCGUGAUGUCAUGCUGAUGUGUGGAACGGGCACCGGCUCUGGCAUCGGUCCCCGGCACUGACUACCUGCGUGCACCUCUGUGAACCUCAGGUUUCGUGUCUGCAGUGCGGUGACAGUCGUAUCUCCAUGGCAGGGUGUUGUCAGGAUGAGAGAUAAUUAGGGUAGGAUCUUGAGGGGUCAUGUCAGCUGCCCCCCCGUCUUCACGAAGACAGGAAACUUACCCCACCCCUGGCUCAGCAGCAUGGAGGUUCACCGCCUUCCGAGAAGAGAGGCCUCCAAGUCUGAUGAUACUGCUACACGGCAUGGACAACCCAUACGCAGGGAUGUUCUUUCCUCUGUCUAGUUUGUCCGUCUGAGAUCCACGUAGGAUCAUGUGUCUGAGCAGGAGCGAAGGUAAGGUGAUGGGGGUUUUGUACGAGCACGGGAAUCUCCAGUAUCUGUGACAUGCUCCCCCGUGGGUUAGUGUGGUAUAUGAAACGCAAGACCAGCGAAAUGGCCCUCCUUUGCCCCAUCCACCCCAGUGGAGUCCACCCAAGCACACAGUGGGUGCCCCGUGCCGAUGGCUUGCUGGCCAUAAUCUUGUUUAUGAGCUCCAGUGAGUCUAAUGGCCUUCCGUGCAUCCCAGAGAGGUGUCCCAUGGAAUGACCCAGUGGGUCUGAUUGUGGCCCUCUAGCCUAGCAGGGUUUGCAGGGAACACUAAGGAAACGUCUCUCUCUUCUGCCCUCCUACCCAAACUUCUUAGCCCAGUCCUGGGGGGCCAGCUUGCGUGAACGACUCUGUAUUGGCAAUAACGGGGCUGGUGAGGAGGAGGACGAGCGGCAGGUGGGAUGGAGCCUUCCAUAGCACCGAGGUGGAACCCUCGCGUUUGGGGGGGAAGCCCUCAUGUUUACAUGCAUGAAUGAGAGAUCAGGAGGCGUUCCUUCCCAUGAUGGCCCUUCCCCUGUCAGGUUCUUCAGGUCAUUCUGGGAGUGAUGAUUCUGGGAAAGGGCCGGGGGCCCACUAGCCCCUCAGGAGAAGAUGGGGUCUGGUUCCUCUGGUCCCAUCUCAGUUUCUCCAUCCACAGCACCAGUGAGGGUUGGGGACAAGUCUACCUCUAGAGUAGGGAGUCUGGGUCAGACUCUAGUAAGCCUGCAGGGGGGAUGACUUGGGCAUGAGUGAAAGGGUUUAGGGAGGGAGAAGUCACAGGGGAGGGGAUGAGCCUCACUUAGAUUCCACAGUAAUGAGGAGCAGGAGAGGCAGAGGAGAGGAGGUGGGGAAGAAGCGUCUUCAGAUGCCCUAGGCAGAACUGGUGGCCCACACUGCCAUUCCCUCUGAGAGACCCAGGACACUUGGUUGAGCGUCUAAUCACCCCCCCUCCCUGGCCCAGAUCAGACCAGACCAAGUAGAGAAUCCCACUGCAUGAGCUCCCCUAGCCCAUGAUUUCCCAGCACCUCUUCCCCUUGUCACUGGUCCCCUCAGGGAGCCGCUGUGAGUGCACACAGAACAUGUGGGGCUCUUCCAGCUGCUAUCCAGCUGUGAGGACCCCUGAGCAUGCCCCUGCCACCUCCCAGUGGGAGAGAAGACUCUAAUUCUAGUCCGAAAGCUGAGAAGGGUAGCGGGGAAGAGGGGCCGGAGGAGGCCAUGGGGAAGCUAACCAUGUACCCCAGUUGUGUGGACAUAUGUGUGGGAGGGGAGGGGCUUGCAGGUGUCGAGGCCCAGCUUAAGAAGGAUGGAGUGUUUCCUAGUUCUCUGAGCUAGAGACAUAUGGGGUAUAUAACACCAAGAAAAUGAAAAUUAUUGCCUAAGAGAGAGAGAGAGGGUGUGGGGGAACAAGAAAAAAUCCAAGCCAGGGAGACCAAUGCCAUCCACCCCCGUCACCAUCAUGACCUGACUAUCUGUGCUUGACGAAGUCAAAGUCUGAGGGAAGGGGGAGCUUGAGAACUGACCCUCAGGGCCUCCCGCAGGGGGGAAGCUAAUCCCCCAAAUGUGCAUUUCCCUGCUGUUACACAGAGCGGGGGAGCUGGGAACAGCGCUCAAAUUCUCCAGGUGGGACAGCUGCUGGGGCUUUUCCGCUUUCCUUCCCUGUGCCCUCCCUUUUCUCUGGGCUGUUGGGGGAACCAGCGAGCUCUUCUCCCACUGGCCUGUCUCCCUUGGGUCUCCCCAGGACUGGGCCCUCCUUGUCCUCUCAGUGGGUCCCACCCUGUCUUGUCUCCCCCAGACCUCUUCGUGCAAAAAGCUUCCCAUAUUUUGUCGCUCCCCACACAAUCCCCUCCUUUGAAAAUAGUCCACUUACCCAAACUUGUGGCCAAAGGGGGUCCUUUAGGAUCCACUUGUAGGCUGGUGCCUUCGUCCAGCAGGGCCUGGAGUUUCGUUCGUCUGUCCAGCCUCCUUCACUCAACAGCCAUAUGCCCAAUGUGGGCCAUGACCUCUACGACGCAGGCAAGGAUUCUAGAAGCGUUUCUGUGCUCACGGGCACAGCUCCAGGAGCAGCCUGACUUUUAAUGGAGUUGGCAGUCCUUGUUCUGAUUCCAGGAGAGAGAAGUGUCUAGAAGGAUGCCAGUGGGCUUGGGUGUGACUGAUGCCGUUUCCUUAGGGGAGGCCACCUCCUGUGAGGUCACCCUGUGAUAGUGGUGACUGAGGCUGGACAGCAGGAGGAACUUCUAAAGACUCAAAGUUGAAGGAAAGAUUUCCAGGUUUCAGUGAAGCUUUUGGGAAAGGACGAUGUUAACCUUUUCAGGCUCUGUGGGAGCAGAGGGGUCUGUGUGUCUGGAAGGGUUUACUUCGACCCAGGUAGGACUGACCCCAAAGAGGGAUGGCCACUUCCUCUUUCCAGAACCCUGACUCAUCCACACUCAGGGCAAUCCCACUCACAGUUUCUUAGAUGAUUGUUUGUUCCUUGGCCAGAAAUCUGGUUCUUGAACUCUGUCUCCUAUUCUUCUCAUGACCUGGGAACAAACCGUCUUUGGGAACCAAAUGUAGCUUCAACUUAUGGAGCCAAAAGAACAGAGAGGCAGGGUCAUUUCUAGACAGUGACACUGCAAACCUACAAGGAGCUAGGAAUGUCCCCUUAUGGGAAUGCCAUCUUCUCUUUUUUACAUGGGAAGGGAAAGGAUGUGACCCUGGGGGGAAAGGGCACAGUUGGUGAGAGCAGAGAGUGAUACCAGCUAAAGAACACCCCGCCCCCGACCUCCGCCCAGCCAGCCCGGAUCCAAACGUGCACAUGAUGGAAAUGUCUUCACAGCCAAGGGCCCCUCCUUCCCAAGGAGAAAAUCCCACAAGUGGGGAACAUCUGGAUCAAACCACAGCCAUGAAAGCACAACAUCAAACAAGGGUUUCCCAGCGACCCUCCCCGCAGGCCCUGCUCCAAGAGAAA